UAGGGAAUCUUCCGCAAUGGACGCAAGUCUGACGGAGCAACGCCGCGUGAGUGAAGAAGGAUUUCGGUUCGUAAAACUCUGUUGUUAGAGAAGAACAGCGCAUAGAGUAACUGUUAUGCGUGUGACGGUAUCUAACCAGAAAGCCACGGCUAACUACGUGCCAGCAGCCGCGGUAAUACGUAGGUGGCAAGCGUUGUUCGGAUUUAUUGGGCGUAAAGCGAGCGCAGGCGGUCAAUUAAGUCUGAUGUGAAAGCCCCCGGCUCAACCGGGGAGGGUCAUUGGAAACUGGUUGACUUGAGUGCAGAAGAGGAGAGUGGAAUUCCAUGUGUAGCGGUGAAAUGCGUAGAUAUAUGGAGGAACACCAGUGGCGAAGGCGACUCUCUGGUCUGUAACUGACGCUGAGGCUCGAAAGCGUGGGUAGCAAACAGG
rnacentral:rRNA from 1 species